rnacentral:rRNA from 1 species
UACGUAGGGGGCAAGCGUUGUCCGGAAUUAUUGGGCGUAAAGAGCGCGUAGGCGGUCCGAUAAGUCGGCUGUGAAAGUCAGGGGCUCAACCCUUGGAAGCCGGCCGAUACUGUCGGACUAGAGUCCGGAAGAGGCGAGUGGAAUUCCCGGUGUAGCGGUGAAAUGCGCAGAUAUCGGGGAGGAACACCAAUGGCGAAGGCAGCUCGC